AUAAGGUCACAGAAUCACAGCAAUCUUCUGUUGGAUCACCAGAAAACAAUGCUUUUCAUUUAUUUACUCCUGAUGCUCAAAGAUGGUCGUUGUAAAGAUAGUCCCAUUAUUGAAACAAAGACUGUAAAUGUUGGAGGACUUGUGAAGAUGACAUGCUCACGCAAGUCUGCUGGAGAAAUAAUUUGGAUGAGGAUAGAUUCUCAAAAUUCUCCUGAAAUUCUUGGGAAAACUGAGAAAAUGUAUCCUCAUAUUAAAUUUGAGACAGAUCCUGGAAUAUGGGUGUUAAAGAUAAUUAAUGCAAGUCUAAAUGAUUCUGGAAUUUAUUUCUGUCUCAGAAAAUAUCAGGAAAACAAGACAUUUAUGAAACUGACAUAUCUGACAGUUAAAGAAUCUGCUGUCACCACAGUCCCCACAUCUGUUCCAGCCCAUCUCCAUGACUCAGUGACUCUCCAUUGUUCAGUCCUCCGUGACUCUCAAAAUAAAUCAUGUCCUGAAGAUGAAAAUUUCCUCUGUUUUAGAGAUGAAUCGAUUCAGACUUUUCCAGGUUUCAACUCCACUGACAUUACUGAGGAAAGCGGAUUCAAAUUUAACUCUGAAGGAUGUUUCUACAGCUAUUUCAAGAACUUCAGCUUGUCUGAUGCUCAGAUGUAUCACUGUGCUGUGGUAAAGGAUGACAAGAACACAUCUAUAGAAAAAUCAAAGAAUAUCACUGAAGAAAACAAAGGAGAUUCAAGAAAUUACUAUACAGUUGCCUGUCUACUGAGUGCUGCGUUGGCCAUCUGUCUGGCUAUUAUAGCCUUCCUCUUAUACGUAAUUAUAGAAAUUAAUAAACAGUUAAAAGGUUCGCGCAAUGGUAAGUAGUCUCAAAUACUGAUGUAUAAAAAAUGAGCUGGAAAACUUGACCAAACUUUUUAAAUGGUUUUUUUUUUUUUUUUUUUUUUCAACUUAGACACAGUUGCACUCCACGUACAUGAACCAACCAAAGGAAAUCCAGAAAGUCAGAAGUCACAUGAGGACUUGAUUUAUUCAUCAGUUUCAACAAAAAGAAAAGCCAGCAAAAAAAGAACAGGGGCCACAGCAUCUGAAGAGCAAGACGUCAUCUACACAGAAGUUAAUGUUCUUGGGGUGUGAAAAAGCUAAUUUAUACAUUUCUGAUUAUUAUCUAAAGACUAAUUUUAAAAUGCACUUUAUUUUUUUGCAAAAAUGUAUUGAUAUUUUGUAUGUCUGUACUGUUAUUCUGCCCUCAUUUGCUUAAAAGAAAAAUAUGUCUGUACUUGUAUAAGCUCUUAGUAAAUAAAAUACAUAAAAGUAA